CUUUCAAUUAUUAAAGCCUUAUUUACCACAGUUGCAUAGGUAGUCAAUUCAUAAGGUACCACUUGUUUUCUAAUUUCAGUCUUUAGUCCCAUCUCAAAUUUAUGCGUUCAAUCUAGUUCAUCUUCGACUAACUUUGGAACAAAUUUAGCUAGCUCGGUAAAUUUAGCUUCAUAUUCUGCAACAGUCAUAUUUCUUUGCUUUAGAUGAAUAAACUCCUGCUCUUUCUGUGUCCUUACACUCCGAGGAAAAUACUUAUCAUAAAAUGCUCCUCGAAAUUUUUUCCAAGUGAGUGGCUCCCUAUCCUGCUCAUAUUUAU
rnacentral:lncRNA from 1 species